ensembl:lncRNA
UAACGUUAGAGUUUACCUUAAAUUUGCUGUAGCGAAGUUAGUUUAGCUAGCUAGCUAUGUUUCUAAAAUGUCUUUAUUUCUGUGUCUUUACUUAAUUGCAGAGGUCAAGGCCAAUGAAUGGACAGCUUUGUAAAGAUAUGUUGAGUGAGUGGAACCUGUAUGGUCUCUUUGAUUCCAAAGUUUUGGGGGGAGGUCCUCUGGACACACCAAGCUUGAGCAGUAGCCGGGACUUGCCAGAGUCAAAUGUGAGAUGACCAAGCGGCUGAACAACAUCUGGCUGGAAAACUAGGUUGCGGUGUCCAUGAGGGAGACCGCGAUCCAGAGAAAUCUGCAAGGCAGUUAACCACCAACAACAACUGCUUCCUGGACGAAGGACUUUUAUUUUCUUCAUUACCAUACUGAUUUCAUGUAGAAAUAUAUACAUUUAUCUGUUAAAGACAUUGAAUACAUGUUUAGCAUAUUUACU